UAUUGCAAAAUGGGCGAAAGCCCGAUGCAGCAACGCCGCGUGGGCGAUGAAGGCCUUCGGGUCGUAAAGCCCUUUUUGAGGGGAUGAGGAAGGACAGUACCCUCAGAAUAAGCCUCGGCUAACUACUUGCCAGCAGCCGCGGUAAAACGUAGGAGGCGAGCGUUAUCCGGAUUUACUGGGCGUAAAGCGCGUGCAGGCGGAUUGGAGAGUUGGAUGUGAAAGCUCCCGGCUUAACUGGGAGAGGUCGUUCAAUACUUCCAGUCUUGAGUGGAGUAGAGGGAAGUGGAAUUCCGGGUGUAGUGGUGAAAUGCGUAGAUAUCCGGAGGAACACCAGUGGCGAAAGCGGCUUCCUGGACUGUAACUGACGCUCAGACGCGAAAGCUAGGGUAGCAAGCG
rnacentral:rRNA from 1 species